CCUACGGGCGGCAGCAGUGAGGAAUAUUGGUCAAUGGGCGCGAGCCUGAACCAGCCAAGUCGCGUGAGGGAAGACGGCUUUCGGGUUGUAAACUUCUUUUCUCCGGGACGAAGAACGUGACGGUACCUGCGGAAUAAGCCGCGGCCAACUACGUGCCAGCAGCCGCGGUCAUACGUAGGUGGCAAGCGUUAUCCGGAUUUAUUGGGUGUAAAGGGCGUGUAGGGGGGAGCGCAAGUCAGAUGUGAAAACUCAGGGCUCAACCCUGGGCCUGCAGUUGAAACUGUCCGGCUGGAGUGCCGGAGAGGUAAGCGGAAUGCCUAGUGUAGCGGUGAAAUGCGUAGAUAUGAGGAGGAACACCAGUGGCGAAGGCGGCUUACUGGACUGUAACUGACACUGAGGCACGAAAGCGUGGGGAGCAAACAGGAUUAGAUACCCGAGUAGUC
rnacentral:rRNA from 1 species